rnacentral:rRNA from 1 species
AGUGAACGCUGGCGGUAGGCCUAACACAUGCAAGUCGAACGGCAGCACAGUAAGAGCUUGCUCUUACGGGUGGCGAGUGGCGGACGGGUGAGGAAUACAUCGGAAUCUACUUUUUCGUGGGGGAUAACGUGGGGAAACUUACGCUAAUACCGCAUACGACCUACGGGUGAAAGCAGGGGAUCUUCGGACCUUGCGCGAUUGAAUGAGCCGAUGUCGGAUUAGCUAGGUGGCGGGGUAAAGGCCCACCAAGGCGACGAUCCGUAGCUGGUCUGAGAGGAUGAUCAGCCACACUGGAACUGAGACACGGUCCAGACUCCUACGGGAGGCAGCAGUGGGGAAUAUUGGACAAUGGGCGCAAGCCUGAUCCAGCCAUACCGCGUGGGUGAAGAAGGCCUUCGGGUUGUAAAGCCCUUUUGUUGGGAAAGAAAAGCAGCAGGUUAAUACCCCGCUGUUCUGACGGUACCCAAAGAAUAAGCACCGGCUAACUUCGUG